GGAGGUAGUGACAAUAAAUCACAAUGCGGGACUAUCAGUCUUGCAAUUGGAUUGAGAACAAUGUACAACUCUUAUCGAUAAGCCAUUGGAGGGCAAGUCUGGUGCCAGCAGCCGCGGUAAUUCCAGCUCCAAUAGCGUAUAUUAACGUUGUUGCAGUUAAAAAGCUCGUAGUUGAAGUGUGGGUGGUGCUGUCUGAAUGACUUCGGUUAGUCAGAUGAUCACUACCCCCUUCCAGUAUCCAAUAGUGGGUAUUCAGUUACUUACUAUUGUGUGUUGGUCGUUUACUGUGAGAAAAUUAGAGUGUUCAAAGCAGGCGUUUGCUUGAAUAGAUUAGCAUGGAAUAAUAAUUGAAGGCUUUCGUGUUCGAUUUGAUUGGUUUGUUCAUGGAAGCAAGGUUAAAAGGAACAGUUGGGGGUAUUCAUAUUCACUAGUUAGAGGUGAAAUUCUCGGAUUUAUGGAAGAUGAACAAGUGCGAAAGCA
rnacentral:rRNA from 1 species